AAUUCGCCUUUUCCGGGUUGAUCCUGCCCGGAGGCUACUGCUAUUGGGAUUCGACUAAGCCAUGCGAGUCAAGGUGUCUUCGGACGCCGGCAUACGGCUCAGUAACACGUAGGUAACCUACCCUCAGGACUGAGAUAACCCCGGGAAACUGGGGCUAAUAUUAGAUAGAUAAAAGAUACUGGAAUGUUCUUUUAUCCAAAGCUUUUGCGCCUGAGGAUGGGCCUGCGCCCGAUUAGGUUGUUGGUGGGGUAAUGGCCCACCAAGCCUACGAUCGGUACGGGCAGUGGGAGCUGAAGCCCGGAGUUGGGGACUGAGACAAGGCCCCAGGCCCUACGGGGCGCAGCAGGCGCGAAACCUCUGCAAUGCGGGAAACCGUGACAGGGGGAUCCCAAGUGCUCAUGCAUUGCAUGGGCUGUUCUUUGGUCUAAGUAACCAGAGGAGUAAGGGCUGGGCAAGACCGGUGCCAGCCGCCGCGGUAAUACCGGCAGCUCAAGUGGUAGCCGCGAUUAUUGGGCCUAAAACGUUCGUAGCCGGAUAAGUAAGUCUUUGGUUAAAUCCUGCGACUUAACCGUGGGAAAUCUAGAGAUACUGCUUGUCUUGAGACCGGGAGAGGUUGGAGGUACUCCCAGGGUAGGGGUGAAAUCCUGUAAUCCUGGGGGGACCACCUGUGGCGAAGGCGUCCAACUGGAACGGGUCUGACGGUGAGGGACGAAACCUAGGGGAGCGAGCCGGAUUAGAUACCCGGGUAGUCCUAGGCGUAAAUGAUGCGAGUUAAGUGUGGGGGCAUCCACGAGAUGGCCCUGUGCCGUAGGGUAGCCGUUAAACUCGCUGCCUGGGGAGUACGGUCGCAAGGCUGAAACUUAAAGGAAUUGGCGGGGGAGCACCACAAGAGGUGGAGGCUGCGGUUCAAUUGGAUUCAACGCCGGG
rnacentral:rRNA from 1 species